UACAGAGGGUGCGAGCGUUAAUCGGAAUUACUGGGCGUAAAGCGUGCGCAGGCGGUUUUGUAAGCCAGAUGUGAAAUCCCCGGGCUCAACCUGGGAAUGGCAUUUGGGACUGCAAGGCUCGAGUGCGGCAGAGGAGACUGGAAUUCCUGGUGUAGCAGUGAAAUGCGUAGAUAUCAGGAGGAAUACCGAUGGCGAAGGCAGGUCUCUGGGCUGACACUGACGCUCAUGCACGAAAGCGUGGGGAGCAAACAGG
rnacentral:rRNA from 1 species